rfam:Picea glauca, whole genome shotgun sequence.
GUAAUGGUGUCUUUAGACACCACCAUUUAUCUUCAUUUUGUUUUUGU